GGUUUCAUUGUUUUAGUCGAGACAUUUCACUGCCGUCUCACUUUAACUUAACAGUAUAUCCUGACCAAACUCCAGCACAAAAUUCGUAUCAAACAUCUACCAUCCGGCAGUGUCUAGAUAAAAUUUCAACUGGUCAAUGUGUAAGCGUCACAUGGAAGCCGUAUGUUAGCCUUUGUGAUUGCUUCACAAGUGCAAAUGUAUGUGCAAUGCCAUUGGACACUUUACAGCCGGGACAACUACUUUCAAGUGACAUCGCUAUUAACAUUGACACCGCACAUUGUCGCCGAGAAGGUCAGCAGUGUACCAGUCCGGUGUGUGACGACAUGUGUAUUGUAGUAAACCAUACCCACUUCUGUGGGUGCAAAACAGGGCGGCGGUUAACGAAUGGAAGUCACUGUGAAGGUAAUUCUCUGAAACAUCAGCAUGCCAAGUAUACCCUGGUGAAUUUUCAAACAUUAACACGUACGUGUUGAUAAUAGUAGGCUUCCAAGUAACUUGGUUACUUAAUGAUAAUAUAAUGCAAUUUGAAGUAUGUUUUCAGGUACAGAUGAAUGUCAGUUUUACGCCGACUGUCAUGUUCACCAAACGUGUUUAUCAAACCACUAUUGUUAUAAUACCUGCAACCAAGGGUUCCAUCCUGUCCUAGACACAAACUCAGGCAACAAAACAUGUACGAGCAAAUGUGUCGUACCUGACAAUGCCGUGAACGCCACGCGGGAGAAGUCAAAUGUGACUUAUGUGAAUGUUGGCGAAAAAAUCUUGUAUAACUGUAUUCCAAACUUUACACUGUCGGCUGGUAGUUUAACAAGAACAUGCAUGUUUGACUUCACGUGGACUGGAGAGCCCCCAUUA